GGUUAGACGAAGGACCCGUAUGGAAUGAUUGUUUAUGCUAGUUAACGUUGAAUUUUCUAAGUUAUCUUGACCUUUUUGUUGGGUGAAAUCAGUUAAAAAGGCCACUGUUUCUUUAAAAAUUUAGAGGGGCUAAAAAACUUCGGUCAAAAACCAGGAUUAGAUACCCUGUUAUUCUGAGCAAUAGUUAGAUAGGGUAGUAAAAGUUGUUCUUCAAACCCAAAGAUUUUGGCGGCACUUUAUCCAAAUAGAGGAGCUUGUCCCUUAAUCGAUAGUCCCCGUUUUAUCUUUCCUCUACUUGUAAAGCUUGUAUACCGCCGUUGUCAGAUCACUUUUAGAGAAUGUUUUCGAGUUAGAGAACUUUUUUACUUCAGGUCAAGGUGCAGUUUAUGUAGGGGUGGAGGUGAGCUACAAUUUUCUUUAGAAAGACGGACGUCAAACUCUAAAACUGGCUAAAGGUGGAUUUAUUAGUAAAGUAAUUUAAGUAAAACUACUUGAAUGGGGCAAUAAAGUGUGUACAUAUCGCCCGUC
rnacentral:rRNA from 1 species